rnacentral:lncRNA from 1 species
UGACUUUGGUGUCCUAAACGAGAGGCUCUCCCGCCUGCGACUCUCCGCGCAUGCCCAGGUUUCCGACUACUCCGGAGGCCGCGACAGUCCUGCUUUCUCAGCUGGUAGUCCAGGCAUUACCCCUCCCCCGGCGGCGGCAUUGGCGGCCGUGUUGUUGUCGCGGUGGCUGCGGUCGCCUGACCCUGUGCGUCGCUACUGCGGGCCGGACCAACCGCUUUACCGCAGAUCUGUUUGUCUUUCCAGUCAGACCAGAGAGGAAGGAGUCUGGGAAAUCUGGUUUCAUACUUUUUAAUUCGUCCUUGUUGACAAGGAUUAAUUUAUUUUUGGAAAUCAAGUGCAAUAUUAAAACGAAAACAAACCAUACUACAUUAUUGGAAGCCAUUUCUUCUAAUUUUAUUGCAUUUUAA